AGCGAACGCUGGCGGCAGGCUUAACACAUGCCAGUCGAGCGGGCACUUUCGGGUGUCAGCGGCGGACGGGUGAGUAACGCGUGGGAACGUGCCCUCUGGUUCGGAAUAACUCAGGGAAACUUGAUCUAAUACCGGAUACUCCCUUUUGGGGAAAGGCUUGCUGCCGGAGGAUCGGCCCGCGUCUGAUUAGCUAGUUGGUGAGGUAACGGCUCACCAAGGCGACGAUCAGUAGCUGGUCUGAGAGGAUGAUCAGCCACACUGGGACUGAGACACGGCCCAGACUCCUACGGGAGGCAGCAGUGGGGAAUAUUGGACAAUGGGCGCAAGCCUGAUCCAGCCAUGCCGCGUGAGUGAUGAAGGCCUUAGGGUUGUAAAGCUCUUUUAUCCGGGACGAUAAUGACGGUACCGGAGGAAUAAGCCCCGGCUAACUUCGUG
rnacentral:rRNA from 1 species